rnacentral:misc_RNA from 1 species
UACGGAGGGUGCAAGCGUUGUCCGGAUUUAUUGGGUUUAAAGGGUGCGUAGGCGGGUCUUUAAGUCAGUGGUGAAAGCCCAUAGCUCAACUAUGGAAUUGCCAUUGAUACUGGAGGUCUUGAAUUCAGUAGAGGUAGGCGGAGUUGAUGGUGUAGCGGUGAAGUGCAUAGAUACCAUCAGGAACACCGAUUGCGAAGGCAGCUUACUGGACUUGAAUUGACGCUGAGGCACGAAAGUGUGGGGAUCAAACAGG